UCUAGAACUCGAGAUAUGGGCUGAACACUGAACAAUGUUUGGGUUGUAGGACAAAUUCCGACUUCUCUAUUGUUGCUACAAUUUGAACUUGCAUACAGUCCUUUUGAAUCUUGGACUCUUCAUGAAAGUUUUAGACCUAUGUCUUAGCUUUCCAUA
rfam:Populus trichocarpa scaffold_6_contig_88, whole genome shotgun sequence.